CGGAGGGUGCGAGCGUUAAUCGGAAUAACUGGGCGUAAAGGGCACGCAGGCGGACUUUUAAGUGAGAUGUGAAAUCCCCGAGCUUAACUUGGGAAUUGCAUUUCAGACUGGGAGUCUAGAGUACUUUAGGGAGGGGUAGAAUUCCACGUGUAGCGGUGAAAUGCGUAGAGAUGUGGAGGAAUACCGAAGGCGAAGGCAGCCCCUUGGGAAUGUACUGACGCUCAUGUGCGAAAGCGUGGGGAGCAAACAGGAUUAGAUACCCUGGUAGUCCACGCUGUAAACGCUGUCGAUUUGGGGAUUGGGCUAUAUGCUUGGUGCCCGAAGCUAACGUGAUAAAUCGACCGCCUGGGGAGUACGGCCGCAAGGUUAAAACUCAAAUGAAUUGACGGGGGCCCGCACAAGCGGUGGAGCAUGUGGUUUAAUUCGAUGCAACGC
rnacentral:rRNA from 1 species